CCAGCAGCAGCUCGGCUCAGCUAAUCGCCUCACCUUCGGACGGGACCAGCGCUAGCUAUAGCCUAGCUAGCCAGCGAGCGAUGGCGGGCAACAGGGCGGCCGGCGUCGUCCUCCUGGCGGUGGCCGCGCUCCUCGCCCUGGCGGCGGCGGAUGAUGAGCACCUGCACCACUGGAGGUGCUUCAGGUCGUGCGCGAGGGACUGCCGAGACGAGGACGCCGUUGACGACGGCGCCGGCGCCCUCAACAACGUCUCCGCCGGCGUCCCCCACAAGUGCAAGACCGGGUGCCUGCACGAGUGCUUCGAGGACCUGCCGGCACUCUGCUACCAGCAGUGCGUCGUCAGCACCUGCCUCUGCCUGCCGCCCUAUAGCAAGGAGAAGCUGGCGUGCAUGAAGAGCUGCUGCGACAAGUGCUUCCACCACGGCCCGCCUGCGCCCGGCCCCGGCCCGAAGCCCAAGCCGCCGCCGCCCAGCCCGAAGCCCCCUGCCCCGAAGCCGCCCAGCCCGCCGAAGCCGAAGCCACCAACGCCGAAGCCGAAGCCACCGUCGCCCAAGGGGCCGCUGCCGCCGAAGAAGCCGCCGUGUCCCCCCGGCCGCGAGACCGCGAACGCCAACAACUGAUACGGUGGGCCCGCCGCCGGCGAGGUGGCUGUGCAACACUGCAGCCUCCCUCAUGCGUUCCACACGGCACGCAAAUGGCGCUGCGUGUCCAACAGCACAAGCACACACUUAGCUCCAGCUCCAGCUCUUGCCGGCCGGCGGCGCGGUAUAUAUGCGACCAGCUGCGGCGCCGACCCACGCACCUCGUCGAGCUAGGUGCGGCAGCUCCACUUGGACGACGACCGGGGGCCGCUAGUAGGCCAGCAAUGGCGCGCUCCAAGGCGGUGCUGUUCGCCGCCCUCCUGGCCGUCGCCGCGCUCUCCUCCGCCGCGGCGCUGGGGGACUACGACCACCACGUGUACCGCCGGUGCUACAGGUCCUGCGUCAGGAGGUGCGACGACGACUACGACGAUGACGACGACGACGACCAUGACGACGCCUUCAAGAACGGCGUCAGCCCCCUCCGCGCCGCCGUGUCCGACGACCCCGACCACCGCGAUCGCGAUCAUGUCCACGAUCUUGACGACGACUGGGAUGACGAUGACGACGACUACUGGGAUGACGACGACGACGACGACGAUGACGACGAGUGCCGGGUGAGCUGCAGGGAUGACUGCACUGAAUACGUGCCCGGCGUCUGCUACCACCACUGCGUCUCUCACUCCUGCUUCUUCCUGCCACCGUAUAGCUACCGGAGAGUGGCAUGCUUCAGGGGAUGCGGCCGUCGAUGCUACCACCACGGCCACCAUCAUCACCACCACCACCACCACCAUGACGACGAUGACGAUGACGACGAAGAUGACAAACCGAAGCCAAGCCCUCCCAAACCUGGGCCGAAACCGACACCGCCCAAGCCACGACCAGGCCCCGUGCCGCCGAGCCCGGAGCCAAAGCCACCGGUGGCCGUGCCCAAGCCGGCACCGCCGAAUACACCGAAGCCAGCACCAAGGACUCCGAAGCCGCCAACGCCAACUCCGAGGACGCCCAAGCCGCCGCCGCCGCCCGGACAGAAGAAGCCCAAGCCGCCAGUGCCAGAGCCGAGGACACCCAAGCCGCCACUGCCUAAUCCAGGUCUGAGACCAUCAUCAGAGCCGCAGCCGCCGCGUGCGAUCGGGCCACUCGUCAACAAUUGAAGGAUACCAACACGUCCGAGACAACACCAGAUGAUUAAGUAGAGGUUGCAAAGGCGAUUACUGAUGGAUUGCUGUAUUUGGUAGUAAGAUGGGAGGAUUAUCUCGAUUGGUAGCUGUAGAUUGGGCAUGAACCUUACGUUGCAUAAGCCUACAUCUAUGGGUCCAGUCCUUGUCUGCAUGAUGUAACUAAAGUUCAUGUGUCAA